UACAGAGGUCCCGAGCGUUGUUCGGAUUUCAUUUGGGCGUAAAGGGCUCGUAGGCGGCCAACUAAGUCGGACGUGAAAUCCCUCAGCUUAAACUGGGGAACUGCGUCCGAUACUGGGAUGGCUUGGAUUUGGGAGAGGGAUGCGGAAUUCCAGGUGUAGCGGUGAAAUGCGUAGAUAUCUGGAGGAACACCGGUGGCGAAGGCGGAUCUCUGGGCCUUACUGACGCUGA
rnacentral:rRNA from 1 species